ACUCCUACGGGAGGCAGCAGUGGGGAAUCUUGCACAAUGGGCGAAAGCCUGAUGCAGCAACGCCGCGUGCGGGAAGAAGGCCCUAGGGUUGUAAACCGCUUUCAGUAGGGAAGAAAAUGACGGUACCAACAGAAGAAGGUGCGGCCAACUACGUGCCAGCAGCCGCGGUGACACGUAGGCACCAAGCGUUAUCCGGAUUUAUUGGGCGUAAAGAGCUCGUAGGCGGUUCGGUAAGUCGGGUGUGAAACCUCUGGGCUCAACCCAGAGAGGCCACCCGAUACUGCUGUGACUAGAGUGCGGUAGGGGAGCGGGGAAUUCCUGGUGCAGCGGUGAAAUGCGCAGAUAUCAGGAGGAACACCAGCGGCGAAGGCGCCGCUCUGGGCCGUAACUGACGCUGAGGAGCGAAAGCAUGGGUAGCAAACAGGAUUAGAUACCCUGGUAGUCCAUGCCGUAAACGUUGGGCACUAGGUGUGGGUCUCAACCAACGAGAUCCGCGCCGUCGCUAACGCA
rnacentral:rRNA from 1 species